UUUUUGAGAGCUUCUCAGUGGAAAAAUUCUGCAGAUUCUGUAUGGCAUCCAGGACUGACACUCAACUCCAACAGACUUGGUGGCAAAGAAGUACUUCACUCUAGAUGUACUGAAUGCGGCUAUCCGAUCUUUUCCAUACUCAUUCACAGACAAAACUGAUCGGCCACAACAGAUUGAUGGCCUCCCAAACAAUGACUAUGCGUGUUAUCCUCUGCGACGGGGACAUCAGGAAACUCAUGCUGGCUUCAAGGCCCAGUUCAGUGGACGAUUUGAUCACCUGUCUGAAAAUCACACUCUCACUUCAGUACAAUUUCACUUUACAGUUUAGAGACCCAGAAUUUGAUAAUGAACUUUGCAACCUCACUGAUGUGUCUGAACUCCCAGAAAAACCAACUGUGAAGAUAAUUCCUGUGCUUGAA